rnacentral:rRNA from 1 species
ACGCUCGACACCUACGGGAGGCAGCAGUCGGGAAUAUUGCGCAAUGGAGGAAACUCUGACGCAGUGACGCCGCGUGCAGGAAGAAGGUUUUCGGAUUGUAAACUGCUUUAGACAGGGAAGAAAGAAAUGACAGUACCUGUAGAAUAAGCUCCGGCUAACUACGUGCUAGCAGCCGCGGUAAUCUGAGCGGGCUGGCAAGGC